GUCUAUGGCCUUGUUACCAUGAACAAGCCCAAUCCCCUCUGAUCUCGGAAGCUAAGCAGGGUUGGGCCUGGCUAGUACUUGGGUGGGAGACCACCUAGGAAGACCAGGUGUUGUAGGCA
rnacentral:rRNA from 1 species